UGUUGUUGUAGUGAAAAUUGCAGUAUAUGUAAGGCGUACAGAAAGUGUAAUUGAUGGCCCUUCCCAUUGAGGUAUACAUGCUGAUUGUUGUUUGGAACGAGAAGCUCCCACGUAAAUCUAACAUUAUAGAAAUUAUGUUAAUUUACGAUGUGUGUCGAAAUGAUGUAGAUACCUGAUGUGAGGUGAAAUUUAGGAUAGAGGCAUGUGUGUGUGAGGACUGGCCCUUUCCAAAGCUAUAGAAUUAAUUAUUUCAGUUAUAUGUGGUGGAGAAUAAUGAUAGUGAGGAAUUAUUUAUGUGUGACGGGAUAAGAAGUUUUAUUGGUAACCCUAUUUGGGAAUGAGUUAUACUGAUGUUGAGAACAGGAAAUGUUAAAAAUGUAGAUGAUGAAGGUGAAACUUGAUGUUGGUAAUGGAGAGUCGCUUUGUGGAGUGUGAUUGUGUUAGUAUUAAAAUUUAUAGAAGUUAUAAAGAGUCCACUUGUGGAACGGUUAUUAGCUAUUGUGAAAUGAGAUACAGUGAAGAGUAGUAAAUAAAGAGACACUUGAGCGACCCUUGGUUAUUGAUAAGAUUGUAAAGAAGGUUUAUAUUGUGUCUGGUUAUUUUGUUUGAUGUGGCUUAGUGUAAAAGUAUUUACCCUUUGAGAUGUGUUAUGGAGGUAGAAAGGUGUAGGAAGUACAGUCCCUUAAUAUUUCGAAUACGAGAGGAAAUGAUAUAGUGGAGACAUGUAACGUGUGAGAGAGUGUGUAUGACGUAGUUGGUAUGUGCGUGAUGUGGAGGUUUAUGAAAUUGGACUAAUAUGGUAACUAUAAAUGAUGAAAGUAAUGAAGUAGUGAUGUUCUGGUUUUCGAAAGAAUGGAGUAACCGAUGGUGUAUGGUUUGAAGUAGAGUUACAAACCUGAGUAUGAUGAAGUUGAUGUUAAAUUUUGUAAAGGUGGUAUAAUACGAGGUUGAAGAAUGGUGCAGAGAAGAAAAAAAAAGGUUUUGUCAGUGUAGAGGUUAAUGUUUAGAUGAGGAAAUAAAACAGAUCCCCAGAGAAAAUGUAAAAAAGUUAGGAAUGAGGUGUGGGAGUGAAGAGGUGUGACGAAGUGAAGUCGAAUUGCUGAGUUUGAUGGUGAAUGGUUUGUGACCUAGUGUUGCCCCUGUACGUCCUGCCUACAAGAUUUGAGUUUGGACAGUUAGUGAUACGGUGAUCUAGUAGUGUGUGUGACUUGACGAAAUGAUAAUCCAUAGAGGUGAAUAUGUAUUGUCCCAGAGAGUAAAAUAUCGUUAGAAAUUGGUAGAGACAUGUACAAAUAGAAGACCAAUCAAAUAAUAAUUCACUUUGGAUGAUGUAGCGAGGAUGAGGGAAUUGAAAGCGAGUAUAGAAAGUGAAAA